AAGCGUACACGGUGGAUGCCUUGGCAGCCAGAGGCGAUGAAGGACGUAGUAGCCUGCGAUAAGCUUCGGGGAGUCGGCAAACAGACUUUGAUCCGGAGAUUUCCGAAUGGGGAAACCCACCUGUCAUAAGGCAGGUAUCACAUACUGAAUACAUAGGUAUGUGAGGCGAACGCGGGGAACUGAAACAUCUAAGUACCCGUAGGAAAGGACAUCAACCGAGACUCCGUCAGUAGCGGCGAGCGAACGCGGACCAGGCCAGUGGCAAUAGUAAGAAAAGCGGAAGCGUCUGGAAAGUCGUGCCGUAGUGGGUGAUAGCCCCGUACGCGUUAAUCGAACUAUUGUCCUCGAGUAGGGCGGAACACGUGAAAUUCUGUCUGAACAUGGGGGGACCACCCUCCAAGCCUAAGUACUCGUGCAUCACCGAUAGCGAACCAGUACCGUGAGGGAAAGGUGAAAAGAACCCCGAUAAGGGGAGUGAAAUAGUUCCUGAAACCGGAUGCCUACAAGCAGUCGGAGGGCGCAAGCCUGACGGCGUACCUUUUGUAUAAUGGGUCAACGACUU
rnacentral:rRNA from 1 species